CAAAGCCUCCAACAAAGCUCUGCUUAGUGUUCCUAACCUCUCAGAGACAGGAUGUGAAGGCGUGUCCUCAGUUCUGAGAUCCCAGUACUCCAGUCUGAGAGAGCUGGACCUGAGUAUUAACAGCCUGGAGGAUUCAGGAUUUAAGAUUUUUUCUACUGCAUUGGAGAGUCCACAUUGUAGACUGGAAACGCUCAGAUUGAAUAUUUGCAACCUCUCAGAGAGAAGCUAUGACACUCUGUCUUCAAUUCUCAGCUCCCAGUCUUCUAGUUUAAAAGAAUUGGA